GAUGAACGUUGGCGGCGUGCCUAAUACAUGCAAGUCGAACGAAGGUCUAGCUUGCUAGACCUUAGUGGCGAACGGGUGAGUAAUACAUAAAUAAUCUGCCCAUAUGACUGGGAUAACUCCGGGAAACCGGGGCUAAUACCGGAUAAUACUUUUAACCGCAUGGUUGAAAGUUGAAAGAUGGUUUCGGCUAUCACUUACAGCUGGACCCGCGGCGCAUUAGCUAGUGGGUGAGGUAACGGCUCACCAAGGCAACGAUGCGGAGCCGACCUGAGAGGGUGAUCGGCCACACUGGGACUGAGACACGGCCCAGACUCCUACGGGAGGCAGCGGUAGGGAAUCUUCCGCAAUGGACGAAAGUCUGACGGAGCAACGCCGCGUGAACGAUGAAGGCCUUCGGGUCGUAAAGUUCUGUUGUUAGGGAAGAAUAAGUACCAGAGUAACUGCUGGUACCUUGACGGUACCUAACCAGAAAGCCACGGCUAACUACGUGCCAGCAGCCGCCGUAACAC
rnacentral:rRNA from 1 species